rnacentral:rRNA from 1 species
GACGAACGCUGGCGGCGUGCCUAAUACAUGCAAGUCGAACGCUGAAGAGAGGAGCUUGCUCUUCUUGGAUGAGUUGCGAACGGGUGAGUAACGCGUAGGUAACCUGCCUUGUAGCGGGGGAUAACUAUUGGAAACGAUAGCUAAUACCGCAUAACAAUGGAUGACACAUGUCAUUUAUUUGAAAGGGGCAAUUGCUCCACUACAAGAUGGACCUGCGUUGUAUUAGCUAGUAGGUGAGGUAAUGGCUCACCUAGGCGACGAUACAUAGCCGACCUGAGAGGGUGGUCGGCCACCCUGGGACUGGGACACGGCCCAGACCCCUUCGGGAGGCAGCAGUAGGGGAUCUUCGGCAAUGGGGGCAACCCUGACCGCGCAACGCCGCGUGAGUGAAGAAGGUUUUCGGGUCGUAAAGCUCUGUUGUAAGUCAAGAACGGGUGUGAGAGUGGAAAGUUCACACUGUGACGGUAGCUUACCAGAAAGGGACGGCUAACUACGUG